UAGGGAAUCUUCCACAAUGGACGCAAGUCUGAUGGAGCAACGCCGCGUGAGUGAAGAAGGUUUUCGGAUCGUAAAGCUCUGUUGUUGGUGAAGAAGGAUAGAGGCAGUAACUGGUCUUUAUUUGACGGUAAUCAACCAGAAAGUCACGGCUAACUACGUGCCAGCAGCCGCGGUAAUACGUAGGUGGCAAGCGUUGUCCGGAUUUAUUGGGCGUAAAGCGAGCGCAGGCGGAAGGAUAAGUCUGAUGUGAAAGCCCACGGCUCAACCGUGGAACUGCAUCGGAAACUGUCAUUCUUGAGUGCAGAAGAGGAGAGUGGAAUUCCAUGUGUAGCGGUGGAAUGCGUAGAUAUAUGGAAGAACACCAGUGGCGAAGGCGGCUCUCUGGUCUGCAACUGACGCUGAGGCUCGAAAGCAUGGGUAGCGAACAGG
rnacentral:rRNA from 1 species